GUCCACGCCGUAACGAUGGAUACUAGCUGUUGGAGCAAUUUCAGUGGCUAAGCGAAGUGAUAAGUAUCCCACCUGGGAGUACGUUCGCAAGAAUGAACUCAAAGGAAUUGACGGGGCCCGCACAAGCGGUGGAGCAUGUGGUUAAUUCGAUGAUACGCGAGGAACCUUACCAAGGCUUAAAUGUAGAUUGACAGAUUUGGAAACAGAUUUUCUUCGGACAAUUUACAAGGUGCUGCAUGGUUGUCGU
rnacentral:rRNA from 1 species